rnacentral:rRNA from 1 species
GAUGAACGCUGGCGGCGUGCCUAAUACAUGCAAGUCGAGCGAACGGACGAGAAGCUUGCUUCUCUGAUGUUAGCGGCGGACGGGUGAGUAACACGUGGAUAACCUACCUAUAAGACUGGGAUAACUUCGGGAAACCGGAGCUAAUACCGGAUAAUAUUUUGAACCGCAUGGUUCAAAAGUGAAAGACGGUCUUGCUGUCACUUAUAGAUGGAUCCGCGCUGCAUUAGCUAGUUGGUAAGGUAACGGCUUACCAAGGCAACGAUGCAUAGCCGACCUGAGAGGGUGAUCGGCCACACUGGAACUGAGACACGGUCCAGACUCCUACGGGAGGCAGCAGUAGGGAAUCUUCCGCAAUGGGCGAAAGCCUGACGGAGCAGCGCCGCGUGAGUGAUGAAGGUCUUCGGAUCGUAAAACUCUGUUAUUAGGGAAGAAUAUAUGUGUAAGUAACUGUGCACAUCUUGACGGUACCUAAUCAGAAAGCCACGGCUAACUACGUG